rnacentral:rRNA from 1 species
GACGAACGCUGGCGGCGUGCUUAACACAUGCAAGUCGAACGAAGUGGCGAACGGGUGAGUAACGCGUAAUCAACCUGCCCUUCAGAGGGGGACAACAGUUGGAAACGACUGCUAAUACCGCAUACUGAAGGAGGGGAUUGCGUCUGAUUAGCUAGUUGGAGGGGUAACGGCCUACCACGGCGAUGAUCCGUAGCUGGUGUGAGAGGAUGAGCAGUCACACUGGAACUGAGACACGGUCCAGACUCCUACGGGAGGCAGCAGUGGGGAAUAUUGGACAAUGGGGGAAAGCCUGAUCCAGCCAUGCCGCGUGUGUGAAGAAGGUCUUCGGAUUGUAAAGCACUUUAAGUUGGGAGGCGUUACCAACAGAAUAAGCACCGGCUAACUUCGUGCCAGCCGCCGCGGUAAUAC